ensembl:lncRNA
GUUUAUUACCCCGCCCCCUUGUUUGAUGGACAGCCUAUGAAAAAGAGUAAACACUGCGUGAUGUAGUUGUGUGUUGCAUCGUGAUCGUGUUUGAGGAGGAGGGAGAGGAAAAAAAAGGAGCACUGCGGUACUGCUGCUCUGCUUUCCAUCGACAGAGCGAUGACAUCAUACUGAUCCACAGCAGUUAUCCGAGGACACGACAUCUCUCUCUCUCUCUCUCUCUCUCUCUCUCUCUCUCUCUCUCUCAUGACAGCUAGAGAGCACUCAUAUUCAUUCCUAUAGGUGACUCCAUAGAAUCCUGUCAUGGUGGUGCUUUUUCCCCAAACAAAUUCUACAGAGUUAAUGUGGACUAAUUACUCUGACUGAGAACUGAAUCAACUGGUUUUUGAUUCAACUGAAAAUUAUUUGAUUCAUGACUUGUUGGUUUUCAACACAACGGAAGCCAAGUUCAGUUCAAUCCGAAUCUCUAAAAAGCGAUUCAGUUCCAUGGUCCAGGAUUCCAGAUGAAAGCAAGUUGUCUAUAUUUAUUAUGAUUCGGUUUAAUUCAAAACUGAUUCAGCUGUCAUUUGAUUCAGCGAAUUUUGUACAUUUUUGAAUUUUUAAAAAUUAUGAUGAAUGAAGGUUUUAUAAAUUUAGAAUGAUUCAACGCAGUCAUUUUUUUUUUUUUAUUCAACUGAAAACAAGUUUUCCAAAUUUAGAAUGAUUCAGUUCAAUAAAGUGACUCGGUUUGUUUGUUUUAUUUAUUUUUUAAUUUGACUGAAAUCGAGUUUUUGAAAUGAUUUGAAUGAUUGGAUUCAAUUUGGUGAAGAAAAAAAAAACAGUAAAAUAAAAAUGACCAGCAUGAAAGCUGAGGAAAAACUAGCCAGGGUUAAUGACGAGCAUGAACGUUAGUGAAACUAUCCAGGAUUAAUAACGGACAUUCUGUCAGCACAUGGAGAGACAUGAUGUACCUUAUGUUACUGUGAACCACAGAACUGGCUACAUGUCGACACACACUCUUACACACUAUGUGAGGUUUUCGACACACUUGUUCAGGCCUUGUGAAGCUCUCUGAACAAAUCUGCACUCCGAUUACAUCACUGCAAACUUUGCAUGCCGAUUUGACUAGCAAUGUGAGCAUAUUUAUCUGAUGUGAGAGAGCACUGUGUUAAAGGGAGAAGUUAAUCAGGGAUCAGAUAUAGAACUUUAACCCAAAUGUAGCCGAUCGGCCACAACUAAAGGAGCAAACUUGAAUGCUGAGUAAAACUAGCUAGCAUGAAUGACUAGCAUGACUGCUGAGUAUGACACUAGCAUGACUGCUGAGUAAAACUAGCUAGCAUGAAUGACUAGCAUGAAUGCUGAGUAAAAUUGACCACCAUGAACUGGCUAGCAUGAAUGCUUAGUAAAACAGGUUAGCAUCAAUGACUAGCAUGAAUAUUAAGUAAAACAUUUCUGCUGAUCUGACUGAUGUUUAAAAAAAACAAAAAACAUUUUAAAUACAUUUUUUAUUUAUUACUUUUUUCACCAAUGGUCACAUUUAGCAAUACUCAUGAUUAAACCGGUAGCUAACUAUUUUAGCCGAGAAACUAAGCUGAGAAACUAACCAGCUAGCAAGGAUGACGUGAUAAAAUAAAUUCUGAGUCACUGCAAAGGUUCAUGCGUCUCCCAUUACACCCUUUACAGCUAUAGAUGUAAUUAUUUUUUAAAUAAAUAUUGCAUUAUCACAAGCUAUGGUACGAGAUUGGAUAAAAGAUUCCGUGGCCUGAAAAUUGAAUAUGUAUGAAAUAUAUAAUCUGAGUAACAGUAGGACAUGAAGUCAUUUUAUUUUUCCACAAGCUCAUAAACACAGUGUGGGUUUAAAAAGAAAUGUUGUGUUUGGGUUUUGUUUUUUUUUUCCACCAGAUAAAAGACUAUGACACAGAAACAAACCUAUGAUCUGACAUGGUCAUUAUUUUCACUGCUAAGUGAGCUGUUCAGGUGAUUAAAGUCAUGAGAGCACUGUUGCUGGGCAACUGAGAAAUAUGGAUACAAAGCAUAAUCUGGCUUGUCAUUUAGCUAGCUAGCAUAGACUGUUAUUCAAUCUUCUUUUAAAUCAAAUAUAGCCAACGUAUAAACACAGCGACAGCAAAAAUAACACAGUACAGUCGGAAAUAUCAACGUUUACCUCAGAUGUGGUGUUAGAUUGCUUAGAAAAGACUCGAGUUACACUUUAAUUACACUUAGCGUCGACUGCUAACCAUACUGAGAACAGUUAGCAUGGAUUUAAAUAGCAGUGCAGUGUGCUGGAUCUAAACAAGGCAAACGAGCACCUCAGUGAUCUCAAUCAUCUCGUCUGAGUAUUUUUACACCACUAUUUACACACACACACACACACACACACACACACCAAUUAUGGUCCACACUGUUUAUUUAUGUUUAAGUGAGUGUAUGUUUUAAGUGUGAGGCGUCUUUAGAGUUAGCAAUCUGAGACUGAGUUCACAGCUGAAAGGGUUAAGGACUGAACCCUUUUUGUCGAAAUAUACUGUUUAUUUAGAUUUUUGUUUGAUUUAUUUAUUUAUUUUAAAUAAUACCUUUUAUUUUCUAUUUAGCUAGCUCAGUCAUCAGUAGUUAGCUGACUAUCAUGCAUGCAAUAAUAACCUGCAGUAAUUGCUUUUUGUGUGUGUGUUUUUGGUUCAGUUUAAUUGACGUACUAAUGGAAAAAUCUCGUGUGUGUGUAUGUGUGUGUGUGAGAGAGAGAGAGAGAGAGAGAGAGAAUGCAGAGGUGCUUGUGGUUGUUCAACAUUGACUUUAGAAGCCUUAUCACACUCCACCACACAUGUCUAUAGGUUCUGCACCUACACUAUGCAUUUUGUAUAUGCUUACGGUAAGGUGUGUGUGUGUGUGUGUGUGUGUGUGUGUGUGUGUGUGUUAGAUAGACACACACGUUGUUUAAAUUUAUUUCGACUGCCUGUAGUGAGCAGUUUUAUUGUGUAGGAGUUGCCUGUAAUUUUGUGCUACAGCGCUAGUUCGGCAUGUGGCUGAGUGCAAUCACACACACACACACGCACACACGGCUCACAGAGCAUUGCAUAAUGUAUUCUAUAAUAAAAUCAGCACAAACACACACCGAUCAUUAACUUUUAUUUUUCAGUUUGCAUUUUACCUGGACUCUCAAAAAACCACACACACAUAAUGAUUGAAGAACAGUAGCAAAACAAAAUGUUCUGGUGUGAUUUGUAAACUUACUCCUGAGCCAAAGGAACAGUAUGGCCUGUUGUGCUUGGCGCUGGGUUUACUUACGCGCACACACACACACACACACACACACACACACACGUACGUCCAGAGGUUAAGAGCGAGGAGGAGCUCCUCAGGAUGGAUUUAGGAGGAAAAACAUUGGCAAUAACAGACACUCCUUUGGCCAACAGCAGCAGUUAUUUUUACAUCACAUAGUCAGAGGUUCAUGGUUUCUAUUGAAUAUAUGGAGAACUCAGGUGAACACACACACACACACACCAUCUUUUAAACCCUUAUGCACAUAUUUGUUGCACAUUAUGAUCGUGACUGUAGGUUAUCACCACAGUGAAAUUUUUAUACAAUACGGUUGUGUGUUAGUUUUUCAGUUAAAACUGAAGUCUCUUGUGCCAGGAGUGUGGAGUGUGGAGUGUGUGUGUGUGUGUGUGUGUGUGUGUGUGUGUGUGUGUGUGUGUGUGUUAAACAGAUGGUUGCUACGCACCAUUACCGUGACCCAUCCGGUGAGAAUUUGGGGUUCCACUCUGACUCGGUUUGUCAGUACUGAGUGACACUGAAGUAAAAUUAAUAAAAAUUCAAUUAUGAGCUCAUCCACAACCAAUUACUGACCUCAUGCCCAAUCAAACAUACUGAACUAUCAGACCCUGGUCAUAGUACAAUGGGUGACGCCUACGAGGACGGCCUUGUAGACCUCAUGACAAGAACAGGAACUUGUAGACCUCCGGAGAGGAGAAGUAACUUGUAGACCUCAUGACAAGAACAGGAACUUGUAGACCUCCGGAGAGGAGAAGUAACUUGUAGACCUCAAGAGAAAGAGGAGAAUUAACUUGUAGACCUCAAGAGAAAGAGGAGAAUUAACUUGUAGACCUCAAGAGAAAGAGGAGAAGUAACUUGAGCAGGAUCUUAGCAACUUGAGGGCGGGAGCAAAAGCUUUUAGACCUCAAAACAGGAGCAGGAACAUGGCAAAUUCCGGAGCAGAACUUUGAAACAUCAUGUGAAACAGCUUUGAGACUUCAGGACAGGAGCUUUGAAACACCAGGAGUAGGAACUUGUAAACUUGAGGACAGGAGCAGGACCUUAUAGACAUCAACACUGGAGCAGGAGUUUAGCAACAGGAGCAGGAGCUUGAAAUUUCAGGACCAAAUCAGGAGCUUUGAGACUCCGGGACAUGAGCAAGAGCUUGUAGAUCUAGAAACUUAAGUGUGCAGGAGCUCUCUAGGAGGAACUCACCCAUACAGUUGUUGUUGUUGUUGUUGUUUGCUUUUUUGCUUUUUUGCUUCUUUUUUAUUAAGAAAAGCAUAGAGGUGUAGCAAAGGAACAACAAAGGAAGAAAGACAAUGAGGGUAAAGGUGAAAGGAGAUAAGAAAGGAUAAGGGGAUAUUUCUUUUCAGUCAACAUGAUGGACACUGCAAUGAAGUAACCCAUGCAGCAUGUAUUAUAGAGUUUGUGCAUGUUUUCUGUGUGUGUGUGAGAGAGUGAGAGAGGGAGGGAGAGAGCGUGAGAGUGUGUCAGCAUGAGAUUCCCUUCAGCUCGAUGCAAAUGAGCUUUUGUUGUGCGUCUCUUGCCUGGUUAAUCUGUCAGGAUUUGUUUGGUGAACACAGCAUGGAGGAGAGAGAGAGUGGGCGAGAGACACAGACAGAGACACACACACACACACACAGAGAGAGAGAGAGAGAGAGAACACGAACUGUUGUGCUUUUGUGUAUUGUGCGUCUCACCCAGAAAUUGUUACCUUUCACCCAGAUGAGUGGGACAUGGAGGAGGAGGAAGAGGUACACUCGUUCCCCUCUCUCUCUCUCUCUCUCUCUCUCUCUCUCUCUCUCUCUCUCUCUCUCUCUCUCUCUCUCUUUGUGUGUGUGUGUUUCUCACGUGAAUUCAUUAUUCCUGCCCCUACUGUUUUUCUCUGUUCUCCUUCUUCACCUCAGUACACAGCUCCUCCUCUAUAUUUCUUUCUCUGUGGGAGGAGUUCCCUGUAAGAAUGUGCAGGACUGUCUUGUCACACACACACACACACACACACACACCCUCUUGCACAAAGCGCCCACACAGUUCACAGUGACAGCAAAAGCAUACAAAAGAAAGUACAGUGCGCACACACACACACACACACACACACACACACUCUCUCUCUCUCUCUCUCUCUCUCUCUCUCUCUCUCUCUCUCUCUCUCUCUCUCUCUCUCUCACACACACACACACACACACACACACACACACACCAC